rnacentral:misc_RNA from 1 species
AAAAAAAAAAAAAAAAAAGAGGAGAAUAAAUGAGAGGCAGACAGCAGAUGGGUUUUGAUAUCUUUAACCUGACAAUAGCAGAGACGUUUUCUGCCGAGCGGGUUAAUAUGCUGUUCUCUCUCAUGGAAUUAUAAAUGAAGAAAAAUAAAAAAAUGUCGAACAGUACUGAUGACUGCUACUGUGCAAGCCUCCUUUCCACCGAGAGAGCCUAUGGCGCUAUGGGCUAUGUAUGUAUGUGUGAUGAUGGAUGGAUGUUACGAGCUGUGGGCAUCACCAUACAUCGUAUGGGAGGCGUAAA